rnacentral:tRNA from 1 species
AAGGCCUUAGCUUAAUUAAAGUAUCUGUUUUGCACAUAGGAGAUGUGAGGUAGUGCCUCGCAGGUCUUA